rnacentral:lncRNA from 1 species
CUUUUUGGAAAUGCACAAGGAGAGGCAGCAGCUGGAGCUGAGCAGGGGAAGGGCAGAGCUGUAAUCAAGAUGCUCAUUUUUCGGCAAGCCCCAGAUGCAGAUCAAGAAAUGCAAAGUUUGUGCUGACGAGGAGACAAGGGCCUCAGUUCUCAUCCAGCAAAGGGAUGGAUUUGGCAGCCCCUUUCCAUGCCAGACCGGAUGUUUUAGUCUUUUUCAAGUCUAUAAACAAUGGAAGCUGCUCAGAGUCAUAUUCCUGGCACCAGCAGCAGCUUGGAUGCAUUUCAAUUCAUGUCUUUUGUGCUCUGGAGUGAAUUCAUACCUUCGUGAAUUGUUUAACAAAAACAGGAGAGAACCUCACCUUGGCAGGCAGCUCCUGGGGCUUGACUGAGCUUGUGGUGACACACUGGUGACAGCUGAUGUCCCAUGGAACUGGGACACAACAGACACAGGAGUGUUCAUGGCAGGGCCUCAGGGCACCUGCACCUCCUCCUGGGCUCCUGGAGGUUUGGAACAAUACCAAGAGGGAAGGUAAGCAUGGG